UGUUUUCACUCUCUCUCUCUUCAUCUUUGCGAUCUUUCUACUAUUUUUGGUCUCUCGAUUGAGCGUAAUUAGCAUCUAGAAUGAUGCAUUUUGGCUUCUAUUGCAGAUCUUCUAAGCAAGGACAACAACUGCGAUAAAAAAUUUACCGUCUCGAUUGUUCAGUGUGAAGUUGUUACUUUGUAUUUUAUUUCUCCCUAUGCAUCUCUUUUCUUUGUUUCAUGUUAUUAUAGACUUAGAUAUUUAUGUGCAAUGCAUCUAAUAUUGGCAAGGAUCUGAGCACAAAUCUCAGAAAACAAAGUAGCAUACUAAUUAAGGCAAGGUGCUAUUAUAGGAGUCGAAUUCUUGGUGCCAUCAUGUUUUGAUUUCAACAUAUGCUUUGGAGACUUCUUGGUUCUGUAUAUUUUCCAUCUCUUCCAUUCAUCUUUGAAUGGUCCUCUAGCGGUUAGUGCUUUAACGAUUUAGCACUAGUAAACUAAACCGAAAAAAAUUUGGUUGUUUUUUAUUUUUUUGCUUGGUUGAUGAGAAAUGAUGAAAAAGUUGGUAUUGAAAUCUGUGUGAAAUAGUGUAUCUUGAUUGGCACUUUGAUGAAAUUUGAUCUGACAAUACAUGUUGCAGUGGAGGAGAAGCACAUGCUCGAAGAGGAAGGGGAAUGACCAUAAUGGAUAUAGCAAUCAACAGGCUUAUAAGAUGCCGAGGGUAUCUGCCAACGAGGAAAGAAAAUCUAAUGCAUCCCAUGGCACAUGACGAACAACUCUUGUGGGGUACAUUGGACCUCCAUGAGAAGUGAAGCUAUACAGGCAACAUGCAAGCCUUAAACCUUGUGUUUAUGGCCGUUCUCAGCUCCUUGGGGUUCUUAGGUUUUGUCGGAUAUACAACAUUCGAUUAUGUAACAAGUAGAAAUGUCUUCUACAAACAGGUUUCUUCUUUUCACAGAUGUUGAAUUAUGUGUACAAAUUAGAGCUUCAGCAUCCGAAAUUGAUAUUGCUUUCUGGACAAAAUAACACACACUAUUUUAGAA